GCCAGUGUAGUAUAGUGUUUUUGAGUGUUGGACUAUGACUCUGGGAACCAGAGUUCGAAUCUCUGCUCAGCCA